rnacentral:rRNA from 1 species
GACGAACCGUGCGAACGUUGUUCGGAAUCACUGGGCUUAAAGGGCGCGUAGGCGGGCGCAUCAGUCAGGGGUGAAAGCCCACGGCCCAACCGUGGAAGUGCCCCUGAGACGGUGCGUCUCGAGGGAGGUAGGGGCGUGCGGAACUUCCGGUGGAGCGGUGAAAUGCGUAGAUAUCGGAAGGAACACCGGUGGCGAAAGCGGCGCGCUGGACCUCUUCUGACGCUGAGGCGCGAAAGCCAGGGGAGCAAACGGG